rnacentral:rRNA from 1 species
GAUGAACGCUGGCUGUGUGCCUAAUACAUGCAUGUCGAACGAAGCACUUGUGCUUAGUGGCGAAUGGGUGAGUAACACGUACUUAAUCUACCUUUAGGUUUGGGACAACAUUUGGAAACGAAUGCUAAUACCGAAUAUUCCUUUCUCUCGCAUGAGGGAUUGGUGAAAGGCCCGUUUGGGUCGCCAAGAGAUGAGAGUGCGGUACAUUAGUUAGUUGGUGGGGUAAUGGCCUACCAAGACGAUGAUGUAUAGCGGGGUUGAGAAGCUGAACCGCCACACUGGGACUGAGAUACGGCCCAGACUCCUACGGGAGGCAGCAGUAGGGAAUAUUCCACAAUGAGCGAAAGCUUGAUGGAGCGACACAGCGUGCAGGAUGAAGGUCUUCGGAUUGUAAACUGCUGUUAUAAGGGAAGAAAUACCAAUGUAGGAAAUGACAUUGGCUUGACGGUACCUUAUCAGAAAGCACCGGCAAACUAUGUGCCAGCCGCC